rnacentral:rRNA from 1 species
AUUAAUAUUUUAGUUUUAUUAUUUUAUUAGUAAUUUUUUAGUUAAAGUAAUAAAAAAUUAUUCCAAAGUUUUGUUAGAUAUAUUUUUAAUUAUUUAAGUUUUAUUCUUUGUACCUUUUGUAUUAGGGUAAUUUUAUUUAUUAAAAUAUUUUUAUUCCCGAAUUUGAAUUAUUUAAUUAAGUCUAGUUUUAUUUGUUUUAAAAAAUUUUUAAAGUCUUAUUUUGUAAUUAGAAGUUAUUCGUUUUCAAUUUAUAUCUGGUUUUUUUAGAUUAAAUGUAAUUUUGAAUUAUUUAUUAAUUUAUUAAUUUAUUAUAAUUUUAUUUUAUAAGGGAUAAUCUUUAUAUUUUUAUAUAAUUAAUUUUUUAAUAUUUUUAUUGAUUUUUAAAUUUAAUAUUUAGUUUUUAAUAAAUUACUUUAUUUUAAUUAAAAUUUUAUUUAAUUUAUAUUUUUAUAGAAUAAAUAUAAUUACUUAAAUUUUAUUUUUAAUAAUGAUUUAAUUAGUAGGAUUUUAUAAUUAAUAAUUUUGAAUUCGACAAUUAUUAUUCUCAGCUGUUUAUCAAAAACAUUUCUUUUAGAUAAAAAUUCAAAGUAAAUUCUGCUCUAUGAUAAUUUAAAUGGCUGCAGUAUUUUAACUGUACAAAGGUAGCAUAAUAAUUAGUCUUUUAAUUAAGGGCUUGAAUGAAUGAAUAAAUGAGGGAUAAAUUUUAAUGAAUUAUAUUGUUUAAAUUUAAUUUUUUAGUAAAAAAGCUAAAUUAAUUAUUUGGGACGAAAAGACCCUACAGAACUAUUUUUAUUAAAUUUUAUUUAGUAUUUAUUUUAAUUAAAUUGAUUAAUUUAAAUUUUAUUGGGGUGAUAAUUAAACUUAAACUUUAUUUUUAUAAUUCUUUAUUUUAAGAUUUAUUGAUUCAAUUUAAUUGGUUUAAGAAAAAGUUACCUUAGGGAUAACAGCGUAAUUUAAAUGGAGAGUUCUUAUUUAUAUUUAAGUUUGCGACCUCGAUGUUGAAUUAAGAUUAUAUUUAGGGGCAGUAUCUUAUUUUUUAAGUCUGUUCGACUUUUAAAUUCUUACAUGAUUUGAGUUCAAAUCGGUGUGAGCCAGAUUGGUUUCUAUCUUAAUAUAGUUAAUUAUAUUUUAGUACGAAAGGACCAAGUAUAACAUUAUUAAUUAAUGUAAUUUUAAAUUAAAGUUGAAUUAU